UCCAGUCAGACUAGAUUAUAUUAAAGGCA
rnacentral:piRNA from 1 species